AGCGAACGCUGGCGGCAGGCCUAACACAUGCAAGUCGAACGAAGUCUUCGGACUUAGUGGCGGACGGGUGAGUAACACGUGGGAACGUGCCUUUAGGUUCGGAAUAACUCAGGGAAACUUGUGCUAAUACCGAAUGUGCCCUUCGGGGGAAAGAUUUAUCGCCUUUAGAGCGGCCCGCGUCUGAUUAGCUAGUUGGUGAGGUAAAGGCUCACCAAGGCUACGAUCAGUAGCUGGUCUGAGAGGAUGACCAGCCACAUUGGGACUGAGACACGGCCCAAACUCCUACGGGAGGCAGCAGUGGGGAAUCUUGCGCAAUGGGCGAAAGCCUGACGCAGCCAUGCCGCGUGGAUGAUGAAGGUCUUAGGAUUGUAAAAUCCUUUCACCGGUGAAGAUAAUGACGGUACCCGGAGAAGAAGCCCCGGCUAACUUCGUGCCAGCCGCCGCUGUAACAC
rnacentral:rRNA from 1 species